UUGGUGCGGGCCGGAUGUGCGUCAUCUGUUCUGUGCCUGCGCUCUUCCUGUUUACCGGCAUUCAACAGAGGUCUGUGGUUAAAACACAGCCGUGUGGACAUUCUAACACCGCUUGUGUCAUUUUGUGGGGCUUUGUGUACACUGAAGAGUCUAUUGUAAACAACCGUUACGUGCGGUCUGGCUCGUUACACUGCCUAGUCCCAGGUACGUAAGAUUUAAUAUAUUGCCAGAGGUUUUAGGUGAUGUGGUGUGGGGGUCAGCUAUGUUUAUCUUUACUGCAGCAUUCCCGUGUGUUUACCGUUUGAGUUGGGUUAUCCAAUAUAUGCUGUUUGGCAUCUACUUCAUUUCUAUCCCGUGGAUACUGACGUCAGCUCUGCUUUUUGGUGUGGCAAGCGGCUGCGUUAUUUGGAGCUGUGUGUCCGACGGCAGUGAGGCUUUCCUUCACCGUGUGCUGUGUUAUGCUGUGUGAGCACCACUGAUAAAAUCACGGGUAUUGGAGUGAGUGUGUGUGUGCGUGUGUGCACUUAGUGUGAUUCUCCUCUUUUGCUCCCUCUCUUAGCCCAUCUGAUGCCA